rnacentral:lncRNA from 1 species
UUCCUACUAGUGGACUCAUCUCCGAAGAUUUCAAAAACAAAAGUCUCAAGUGACGCGGAUAUUUCCACCUGGUUGUAGUGGGAUAGGCUGGAUUGAUGAUUUUUCACACUAAGCUCUGAGUGUUCCAAUGAGUUCCUUGGAAGUCUCUCAGGAUCAACAGGGGAUCAAGGAGGCAUACACACUGAUUUAUCCUAUGGUUGUUAUGAAAUUCUGCCUAACCUCAAUCUUGCUCCAAGGUCCUUUCCACUGCAGCAGUCAAGCUCAUCUACUAUCCCAGUCCCACUAGUGCCAAUACCUUGACCUUCCCAUGAGAUGUUAGGAAUCUUUGCGGCUGCUGGGAUAGGACUGGCAAUGGAACAGGGAAAGACUGAGCCAGGCAAGACCAUUAAAUCCAGCUGUCCCUGGGCCAGGUUCGUGUAAGAAGAGAAAUGGCUUUCUGUGGACAGAUGCAAAGCUGAGCUGCCAAGAAGUUUGAUGGGAUGGUAGAGGAGGUAGUUCUCUAAAUAUUGGAAAUCCCAAGCCUAUGGAAGGUGAUGGCACAUAAGGAAAGACCUCACACUUUGGAGCCGAUGGACUUGGCUUUGGAAUCCCAGCUGCACCUCUUACUGGCAAUGAGACUUUGCAAAUUUAUUUUAACUUCUCUAAGCCCCCAGUUUCCAUCUCUGUAAAAUAUGGUUGUAAAAAUGCCAUGAAAUAAUGUAUGUAAGGAAAUUCAUUAGCACAGUGCCUAAUAAAUUUUAGUUUCUCGUUUUCUCCCAUCUCAGCCUCUCUCUCUCUACAUCUCUAUGAAACAGCUCUGCUAAAGAAAGAUGCAAACUUUUGAUAAUCUACCCUUGAAGAAAAGCUCCUUGGAAUUUGGGAGGCAUUUGAAGUGUCCUUGCAAGAGCAGAAAGUGAAGUAGAAGGAGGCAGGAGGAAGCACGUAUUGGACAACUGGAACGAUAGCAGAUAAGAGCUGAAUGUCAACAAGUAAGCAAGUCAAGCUCUUCACUAGACUUGAGAGAGACUGGAUAAUACUUUAGGAGUGAAACAGCUGGUUAUGAUUAUUCUGUGUUAUUUACAUGGCACCAAUGCUGUCCGUAGUAUUUUACUCUUUUGGAGGAUGCUUUGUGCAGAGGAGUAGUUUGUUGUUGUUGUUAUUAUUGUUUGUGUGCGUAACUAUCAAAGAAGGAGCUGAGUUUUAUAUAAUGGAUCUUAAAGAGGGCACCUAAGGAAGCAGGAGGGAGAGGAGGCCCUGAGAACCUAUGGCUCAGAGGAGCUCCCAGAAAUGUUAGAGGAUCAUGACUAUGAAAUUUUAUCCAGGUCUCAGAGGAAAGGAGGAGCAGCUGACAUCCAGUUUAUACAAAUAAAGAAGAUAUGAUCCACA